UAAGGAAUAUUCCACAAUGGGCGCAAGCCUGAUGGAGCAACGCCGCGUGCAGGAAGACGGCUUUCGGGUUGUAAACUGCUUUUAUAUGGGAAGAUUAUGACGGUACCAUAUGAAUAAGGACCGGCUAACUACGUGCCAGCAGCCGCGGUAAUACGUAGGGUCCAAGCGUUAUCCGGAAUCACUGGGCGUAAAGCGUGCGUAGGCGGUGUGUUAAGUGAUGUGCGAAAUCUGGUGGCUCAACCAUCUAGACUGUGCGUCAUACUGGCACACUUGAGGUCGGCAGAGGCAAGUGGAACUUGUAGUGUAGCAGUGAAAUGCGUAGAUAUUACAAAGAACACCAAUGGCGAAGGCAGCUUGCUGGGCCGAAUCUGACGCUGAGGUACGAAAGCGUGGGGAGCGAACAGGAUUAGAUACCCCCGUAGUCC
rnacentral:rRNA from 1 species